AUUGAACGCUGGCGGCAGGCCUAACACAUGCAAGUCGAACGAGUGGCGGACGGGUGAGUAAUGUCUGGGAAACUGACUGAUGGAGGGGGAUCACUACUGGAAACGGUAGCUAAUACCGCAUACCAUCAGAUGUGCCCAGAUGGGUUUAGCUAGUUGGGGGGGUAAAGGCUCACCAAGGCGAAGAUCCCUACCUGGUCUGAGAGGAUGACCAGCCACACUGGAACUGAGACAUGGUGCAGACUCCUACGGGAGGCAGCAGUGGGGAAUAUUGCACAAUGGGCGAAAGCCUGAUGCAGCCAUGCCGCGUGUAUGAAGAAGGCCUUCGGGUUGUAAAGUACUUUCAGCGGGGAGGCGUUACCCGCAGAAGAAGCACCGGCUAACUCCGUGCCAGCAGCCGCGGUAAUAC
rnacentral:rRNA from 1 species